rnacentral:rRNA from 1 species
UUAAUGAGGCGAACCGGGGGAACUGAAACAUCUAAGUACCCCGAGGAAAAGAAAUCAACCGAGAUUCCCCCAGUAGCGGCGAGCGAACGGGGAGGAGCCCAGAGCCUGAAUCAGCAUGUGUGUUAGUGGAAGCGUCUGGAAAGGCGCGCGAUACAGGGUGACAGCCCCGUACACAAAAGCGCAUGUGCUGUGAGCUCGAUGAGUAGGGCGGGACACGUGGUAUCCUGUCUGAAUAUGGGGGGACCAUCCUCCAAGGCUAAAUACUCCUGACUGACCGAUAGUGAACCAGUACCGUGAGGGAAAGGCGAAAAGAACCCCGGCGAGGGGAGUGAAAAAGAACCUGAAACCGUGUACGUACAAGCAGUGGGAGCACCCUUCGGGGUGUGACUGCGUACCUUUUGUAUAAUGGGUCAGCGACUUAUAUUCUGUAGCAAGGUUAACCGUAUAGGGGAGCCGGAGGGAAACCGAGUCUUAACCGGGCGUUAAGUUGCAGGGUAUAGACCCGAAACCCGGUGAUCUAGCCAUGGGCAGGUUGAAGGUUGGGUAACACUAACUGGAGGACCGAACCGACUAAUGUUGAAAAAUUAGCGGAUGACCUGUGGCUGGGGGUGAAAGGCCAAUCAAACCGGGAGAUAGCUGGUUCUCCCCGAAAGCUAUUUAGGUAGCGCCUCGUGAAUUCAUCUCCGGGGGUAGAGCACUGUUUCGGCUAGGGGGCCAUCCCGGCUUACCAACCCGAUGCAAACUGCGAAUACCGGAGAAUGUUAUCACGGGAGACACACGGCGGGUGCUAACGUCCGUCGUGAAGAGGGAAACAACCCAGACCGCCAGCUAAGGUCCCAAAGUCAUGGUUAAGUGGGAAACGAUGUGGGAAGGCCCAGACAGCCAGGAUGUUGGCUUAGAAGCAGCCAUCAUUUAAAGAAAGCGUAAUAGCUCACUGGUCGAGUCGGCCUGCGCGGAAGAUGUAACGGGGCUAAACCAUGCACCGAAGCUGCGGCAGCGAACGUAUCACCCAAGACAACUUUACGGAGUUGACGAUUGACGGAGCGAAGCGACGUCAAAGCGUUCAUUAAAGUCGAGUUGGCUUAGGGAUACGUUCGUUGGGUAGGGGAGCGUUCUGUAAGCCUGUGAAGGUGUGUCGUGAGGCAUGCUGGAGGUAUCAGAAGUGCGAAUGCUGACAUAAGUAACGAUAAAGCGGGUGAAAAGCCCGCUCGCCGGAAGACCAAGGGUUCCUGUCCAACGUUAAUCGGGGCAGGGUGAGUCGACCCCUAAGGCGAGGCCGAAAGGCGUAGUCGAUGGGAAACGGGUUAAUAUUCCCGUACUUGGUGUUACUGCGAAGGGGGGACGGAGAAGGCUAUGUUGGCCGGGCGACGGUUGUCCCGGUUUAAGCGUGUAGGUGUGUGUUCCAGGUAAAUCCGGUUCACUUUAACACUGAGGCGUGACGACGAGGCACUACGGUGCUGAAGCAACAAAUGCCCUGCUUCCAGGAAAAGCCUCUAAGCAUCAGGUAACAUCAAAUCGUACCCCAAACCGACACAGGUGGUCAGGUAGAGAAUACCAAGGCGCUUGAGAGAACUCGGGUGAAGGAACUAGGCAAAAUGGUGCCGUAACUUCGGGAGAAGGCACGCUGACACGUAGGUGAAGUGAUUUACUCAUGGAGCUGAAGUCAGUCGAAGAUACCAGCUGGCUGCAACUGUUUAUUAAAAACACAGCACUGUGCAAACACGAAAGUGGACGUAUACGGUGUGACGCCUGCCCGGUGCCGGAAGGUUAAUUGAUGGGGUCAGCGCAAGCGAAGCUCCUGAUCGAAGCCCCGGUAAACGGCGGCCGUAACUAUAACGGUCCUAAGGUAGCGAAAUUCCUUGUCGGGUAAGUUCCGACCUGCACGAAUGGCGUAAUGAUGGCCAGGCUGUCUCCACCCGAGACUCAGUGAAAUUGAACUCGCUGUGAAGAUGCAGUGUACCCGCGGCAAGACGGAAAGACCCCGUGAACCUUUACUAUAGCUUGACACUGAACAUUGAGCCUUGAUGUGUAGGAUAGGUGGGAGGCUUUGAAGUGUGGACGCCAGUCUGCAUGGAGCCGACCUUGAAAUACCACCCUUUA